rnacentral:rRNA from 1 species
UGGGGAAUAUUGCACAAUGGAGGGAACUCUGAUGCAGCGACGCCGCGUGAACGAAGAAGGCUUUCGAGUCGUAAAGUUCUUUUAUAUGGGAAGAUAAUGACGGUACCAUAAGAAAAAGCCUCGGCUAACUACGUGCCAGCAGCCGCGGUAAUACGUAGGUGGCAAGCGUUGUCCGGAUUUAUUGGGCGUAAAGCGAGCGCAGGCGGUCAAUUAAGUCUGAUGUGAAAGCCCCCGGCUCAACCGGGGAGGGUCAUUGGAAACUGGUUGACUUGAGUGCAGAAGAGGAGAGUGGAAUUCCAUGUGUAGCGGUGAAAUGCGUAGAUAUAUGGAGGAACACCAGUGGCGAAGGCGACUCUCUGGUCUGUAACUGACGCUGAGGUUCGAAAGCGUGGGUAGCAAACAGG